rnacentral:rRNA from 1 species
GGGGAAUAUUGCACAAUGGGGGAAACCCUGAUGCAGCGACGCCGCGUGAGUGAAGAAGUACUUCGGUAUGUAAAGCUCUAUCAGCAGGGAAGAAAAUGACGGUACCUGACUAAGAAGCCCCGGCUAACUACGUGCCAGCAGCCGCGGUAAUACGUAGGGGGCAAGCGUUAUCCGGAUUUACUGGGUGUAAAGGGAGCGUAGGUGGUAUGGUAAGUCAGAUGUGAAAACCCGGGGCUCAACCCCGGGACUGCAUUUGAAACUAUCAGACUAGAGUGCAGGAGAGGUAAGUGGAAUUCCUAGUGUAGCGGUGAAAUGCGUAGAUAUUAGGAGGAACACCAGUGGCGAAGGCGGCUUACUGGACUGUAACUGACACUGAGGCUCGAAAGCGUGGGGAGCAAAC